AAUCAACGCUGGCGGCGUGCCUAACACAUGCAAGUCGCACGAGAAAGGGACUUCGGUCCUGAGUACAGUGGCGCACGGGUGAGUAACACGUGAAUUAUCUACCUUCGAGUGGGGAAUAACUGGGAGAAAUCUCAGCUAAUACCGCAUAAUACCUACGGGUCAAAGCAGCAAUGCGCUUGGAGAGGAGUUCGCGGCAGAUUAGUUAGUUGGCGGGGUAAUGGCCCACCAAGACGAUGAUCUGUAUCCGGCCUGAGAGGGCGCACGGACACACUGGAACUGAAACACGGUCCAGACUCCUACGGGAGGCAGCAGUGGGGAAUUUUGCGCAAUGGGGGAAACCCUGACGCAGCAACGCCGCGUGGAGGAUGAAAUCCCUUGGGAUGUAAACUCCUUUCGAUUGGGAAGAUUAUGACGGUACCAAUAGAAGAAGCCCCGGCUAACUUCGUGCCAGCAGCCGCGGUAAUACGAGGGGGGCAAGCGUUGUUCGGAAUUAUUGGGCGUAAAGGGCGCGUAGGCGGUUUGACAAGUCUGAUGUGAAAUCUAUGGGCUCAACCCAUAGUCUGCAUUAGAAACUGUCGGGCUUGAGUAUGGGAGAGG
rnacentral:rRNA from 1 species